rnacentral:rRNA from 1 species
GACGAACGCUGGCGGCGUGCUUAACACAUGCAAGUCGAACGGAAAGGCCCUGCUUUUGUGGGGUGCUCGAGUGGCGAACGGGUGAGUAACACGUGAGUAACCUGCCCUUGAUUUUGGGAUAACUUCAGGAAACUGGGGCUAAUACCGGAUAGGAGCUCCUGCUGCAUGGUGGGGGUUGGAAAGUUUCGGCGGUUGGGGAUGGACUCGCGGCUUAUCAGCUUGUUGGUGGGGUAGUGGCUUACCAAGGCUUUGACGGGUAGCCGGCCUGAGAGGGUGACCGGCCACAUUGGGACUGAGAUGCGGCCCAGACUCCUACGGGAGGCAGCAGUGGGGAAUAUUGCACAAUGGGCGGAAGCCUGAUGCAGCAACGCCGCGUGCGGGAUGACGGCCUUCGGGUUGUAAACCGCUUUCGCCUGUGACGAAGCGUGAGUGACGGUAAUGGGUAAAGAAGCACCGGCUAACUACGUG